CUGGCGGCGUGCUUAACACAUGCAAGUCGAACGAUGAACUCCAGCUUGCUGGGGGGAUUAGUGGCGAACGGGUGAGUAACACGUGAGUAACCUGCCCUUGACUCUGGGAUAAGCGUUGGAAACGACGUCUAAUACCGGAUACGACCCGCNAAGGCAUCUNCUGCGGGUGGAAAGAAUUUUGGUCAAGGAUGGACUCGCGGCCUAUCAGGUAGUUGGUGAGGUAAUGGCUCACCAAGCCUACGACGGGUAGCCGGCCUGAGAGGGUGACCGGCCACACUGGGACUGAGACACGGCCCAGACUCCUACGGGAGGCAGCAGUGGGGAAUAUUGCACAAUGGGCGAAAGCCUGAUGCAGCAACGCCGCGUGAGGGACGACGGCCUUCGGGUUGUAAACCUCUUUUAGCAGGGAAGAAGCGAAAGUGACGGUACCUGCAGAAAAAGCACCGGCUAACUACGUGCCAGCAGCCGCGGUAAUACGUAGGGUGCAAGCGUUGUCCGGAAUUAUUGGGCGUAAAGAGCUCGUAGGCGGUUUGUCCCGUCUGCUGUGAAAACUGGAGGGCUCAACCUCCAACCUGCAGUGGGUACGGGCA
rnacentral:rRNA from 1 species